CAGAGCCCGGCGGGGGAGGGCGGCUACAAGAGGGGCGGGGCCUGGGCGGGGCCGGGCCACGCAAAGCCCCGCCCCCGCCCGCCCGCGAGCCGGACUUGGCCGGAGGCGGUGGGGGGGGCGGGAAAAACAGGUCUCGAGGGGCGGGGCUGGUCCAUGCCCCGCCCACCAGCCCGAUUUCUCCGCAGCUGACCGAGUCCUGGGGUCUCAAACGCAAGCCCGGAGAGGCGGGCCCUUGUGAAACCACGCCCACAGCUCGCCCACCCUAUGGCGUAUCGCACAGUCUAAAGCAGGGAAGGAACGGCAGGCGGGGCGGGGCAACCCUGGCCCCACCCAGGGAGCGCCAGCGAUCACCACGGGAGCCUCCACGCUGUGGGGGCGGGGUCGGAUGAAGGAAAGGCGGGGUCUGAAGGCGGGGCCAGGCCACGGCUCCUGGCCUCGAGGGGGCGCGACCCUGCCGACUCCCUCCUGCCGGGCCUUAUCUACGCGCGCCGGGCCGGUCAGUGCAAUAGCGACCGCAGCUUUCAUCAUCACCCGGGGAAGGAUCCCAACCCCGCCCAGCCCCGACUAUCCGCAACUCUACUGAGCCGACCCCCCAUAGCGCCACCCUCAGCUCUACCCCUGUCGUAACCCGUGGCCCUGUAGACGGGCCUCUAUGGGCCCAUCCAUUUCCCAACUCCAGGAGGGCAUCCUUCUCCAGGAAGCCCUCCUGAAUCGCUGGCUCCCAUGGCCUCUGGGCCUCCUUCUCUGCUCUCCCUGGAGCUAUCUGAGCCAUAGGUGGGAUGAGGUUCACAGUGGGGUCCGCACUAGCCUGAGGGGGAGCAUACACCCAGCUUGCAGGGGCCACAUGGACUCUUUCCAGACAACACACUCUUCCAUUCCCCUGCCUCCCCCUCUUACUAACCUUGGGCAAAUGACUUCACUUCUCCACACCUCAAUUUCCUCACCUAUGAAAUGGAAAUAAUAAGAGUACCCAUAACCCAGGGUUGUUGUGAAGAUUAAAUGAGUUAAUGCAUUAAAGCACUUAGCAAGGGACUUUGCCCAAGGGGAAACACUGCUAGUGUUUGUUCAACAAUCAGGCCUGAGUCUUGCCGUUGAGGUGCUACAGGAAGGGGUUCCCCCAGAAGAUGGGGAUUUCCAGAUUUCACCAGAUGGCGGAAGGGGGCCUGUCUGCUGUAGGAUCCUUAGAGUUCAAUAACCUUGAAGGAACUGGCCACAGACAUGUGCUUUCCAUAAAUAUGUAUGUCAGGCAUUGUUCAGAGUGCUGGGGACACAGCACUGAAUGAGACAGACAAAUAUCCCUGCCUUCAUGGGCAUCCCUUGUCCUCAGCUGACAUUCUGGUGAGGGGUUGUAGAACACGAAUAAAUAGAAAGUGGGAUAAUGUAUUAUGAAGAUGACAGAACAGUAACAGGAUGGAGAGUGCUUCCCAGGCUGUCUGAGACUGGACACUUGGAGGACCUUCCAAGGAACUAAUAUUUGGAAUGAGACCACCCUUCUCCUCCACCUCACAACAAGAAGGAUCCAGGCAUGAUAAAGAACAGUAAGUGGAAAGAUCCUGAUGUGGGAAUAAACUUGAUGUAUUCAAGGGAAGUCAAGAAAGCAGUGGUGAUGCCUGGACUGACAGGACGAGAUGAAGGCAGCCCCUCACAUGGAGACUUAAAGGUCCUGGUGGCAGAUCUGGGAAUUAUCCUGGGAGCAACAGAGCCAUGGAGGGUUUUGCACAGAAGGACCUGUUGCAUUUGAGCUGCGAAGUUUGCAGCUGGCAACCCAUAAGGAGGUGCCCCAGUGAUGUUCACACAGCAGCUGAUGAUGUGGGACAAAGGGAGUAAGUCAUCAGGGAAGCCUAACCCGAUCACCCCAUAUUAUUAUCUCUUUCUUAUGUAUGGGGAGACUGAGGUCCACAGAGAGCAAUUACUUGCCUGCAGUCACACAGCUGCCAGGUGGUGCCAACAGAGCAGCCAGGUACACAGCAGUUGUCAAAUGGUUGCUGAAAUCUGCCAGCCACAAGCACUUUCCCUCUCACGGCAGCUUUGCUGACUUAAAUGGAGACUUGUGGUUCUUCCCCUUUUUAAUCACAGUGCAAGCCUUCCCUCGCGCCAGAUUUCUCUGAGGCCCCAAGUGGUUUCCUUUCUCGUUUAAUUUCUUCUCGCCACGCGUCCCCUCCAGAGUCCAGUUUCUUGUUUCAGUGCUCUCCGCGGUUGAGACUUCUCACUUCGUUUUUGUUUUUCCUUAGAAAGGCAAAGGGUUUUCAGCGAAUACCCCUCCACCGCCUUGCCCUAGAUUUCAGAGCAUCACGGCUUAGAGCAGCGAUUUCAUCUUCUUCUCAGGCAGGCUGGCCGGCCUCGGCUCCUCCCACUUCACAGGUCACUGGGGCCCAAAGGGAGUAAGAGGUUUAUUCGAAUUCCCCGGAAACAAGCAAAGCGGUCUUGGGGGAGCCGCCAGCCCUUCUUUCUGACAGUGAAGAAUGCUGAGCCGGAGCGCACCGACUGCCUGCCAAGCUUCGGGGCUCGGAUACUCUCAGGAUUAAUAAGAGUAACAAAAGAGUAGUCGGUAACUAUUAGUAAAUACUUAAUCGGAUCACUGAUAGUGAUAUUAACAACUGAUAU
ensembl:lncRNA